rnacentral:rRNA from 1 species
CAGUCGCCGCGGGAAUACGUAGGUGGCGAGCGUUGUCCGGAUUUAUUGGGCGUAAAGGGAGUGUAGGCGGUCUUUUAAGUCCGAUGUGAAAGCCCACGGCUCAACCGUGGAGGGUCAUUGGAAACUGUUAAACUUGAGUGCAAGAGGGGAGAGUGGAAUUCCAUGUGUAGCGGUGAAAUGCGUAGAUAUAUGGAGGAACACCGGUGGCGAAAGCGGCUCUCUGGCUUGUAACUGACGCUGAGGCUCGAAAGCGUGGGGAGCAAACGGGAUUAGAGACCCCCGUAGUCCCUGUCUCUUAUAA